GAGUGCGAUCAUACCAGCACUAAAGCAUCGGAUCCCAUCAGAACUCUGAAGUUAAGCAUGCUUGGGCAAGAGUAGUACUAGGAUGGGUGACCCCUUGGGAAGUCCUCGUGUUGCACUCC
rnacentral:rRNA from 1 species